rnacentral:rRNA from 1 species
GAUGAACGCUGGCGGCGUGCCUAAUACAUGCAAGUCGAGCGAACAGACGAGGAGCUUGCUCCUCUGACGUUAGCGGCGGACGGGUGAGUAACACGUGGAUAACCUACCUAUAAGACUGGGAUAACUUCGGGAAACCGGAGCUAAUACCGGAUAAUAUAUUGAACCGCAUGGUUCAAUAGUGAAAGACGGUUUUGCUGUCACUUAUAGAUGGAUCCGCGCCGCAUUAGCUAGUUGGUAAGGUAACGGCUUACCAAGGCAACGAUGCGUAGCCGACCUGAGAGGGUGAUCGGCCACACUGGAACUGAGACACGGUCCAGACUCGUACGGGAGGCAGCAGUAGGGAAUCUUCCGCAAUGGGCGAAAGCCUGACGGAGCAACGCCGCGUGAGUGAUGAAGGUCUUCGGAUCGUAAAACUCUGUUAUUAGGGAAGAACAAAUGUGUAAGUAACUAUGCACGUCUUGACGGUACCUAAUCAGAAAGCCACGGCUAACUACGUG